GGAUGUGACUUGGAAGGGUGUAGUGUUGUCCCUUGCUCCUUUAUCUAUGUUUCCUGGUUGUCAUGCAGAGAGCAGAGAACAGAGAGCAGCUGUACUCUGUCAGGCCCUACCACCGUGGAGCCAGUCUACUAUGGACUGACUUCUCUGAAGUCAUGAACCAAAAUAAACCUUUUCUCCUUUAAUUUGUGGGUGCUAGGUAUUUUUUUUCCUCCAGUGACAGGAAGAUCGACUGACAUAGGUGCAAAGACUGAGAAACUAAAAUUGGAGAUACUCAAACACAAACAGACAAAAACAAUGACAUUGACUGAAGUUCAAGGCUAGCAUGGAAAAGAGAUACCAAAACGUAAGAAGGGUGCAGAGUGACAGGUGAUCAUGUGAGUUUAAUCAGAGACAUGCUCUUCCUCCAACUGGAAAACUUUCCCGAUCUUCUUCUUGAGUGUUCUCCUCAUAAUGGUUUUGAAAUGUUUGGUAGCUUUUGAGAGAAUAACAGAAUGAGAAGAAAGAUGUGUGUUUUGGAGAGAAAAAGUGGGUGGGAGAGAAACCCCUCAGGGGAUAGGGAAAAAAUAACAGCAAGAGGAUUCUGGGGAAAUCUGGGCCCAAAAGUAAAGGUUGGGAAGACAGAAAGACAAUGGUUGACGCUGAGAGAGGACUUGCAGCAAGAUAUGAGGAGCUGGGAGCAACGCAGAGAGAGGGAAGGAGGAAAGAAAUGAGGGAGAUGCUCACACACUUUCUCUCCUACACUGGACAAGGCGCAGAUCUGCUGACUGAAUCAACCGCAAAUCUGAGUAGUUUUAACUGAACUCAGAUCCCUUACCUGGAUACAGACUAGGACACUUUCAUCAUACUUAAUGAUUACCAUUUGUGAGGCCUCACUUCUUAUCACUGGUAUCAGAAUUAUGUGUUUUUUCCCUUUCCACUCGAUUCGCUGUGACACAAGCGAACAGUUGGUUUCCAGGGAGGGCCACAUGGCAGAGCUGAGACUAUUCUUCGAUGGCUGCUUUAUAAAAGUCUGCACUUUUCAUCUGGAAGGUACAUAGCGAUGUCUGUGCAGAGGGCUCCAAAACUAACUUCAGGAUGUAAGGAUGUUAAAAACCAGAGGUGGAGAACUGCCUCUGAAAUAAGAAUCAUAUUUAAAUAAAACUCCAAUUCUCCAGGCCCAGCUGUAGGAUUUAUUCCAGAAACGGUACUGUGCUACAUGUGGGAGAUGCAGAUGCUGUAAGACUAGAAGAGGAGACAAAUGGGGAAUCAGGAAAUUGUAAGUAAACCCUGAGAAAGAAGUCCAAGGUGCUGCGAUGUGCUGAUGAAGACUCCCCACCUAGAUCAGGCUGAGUGUGAUUCAGUCAAGUGAUAAAGGAGAAAGAAAUAUUACAGAAUGCCCAAGGCCAUGGGGACAAGAGACAGCACAGUAUCUAUGGCAAACAGGCACACAGUGUUUCCCAUUUCCUUUGCUCUUUGGACCAUAUGCCUGGGAUGCUCUCUUUGAGACCUGGGCCUAUUCCCUAUUGGAUCUAAAGGAGAUGAUACGACUUCUGAGGUUAUAUAAAAAACAUAGUGGUGAUUGAGAGUAGGAUGUUUGCUUGCUCCUGGAUCCCAGUCACCACGCUCUGGGGAAGCCCACACAGAUACUUGAAGAAGCAAUGUGCAAGUGUACCCGGUGAUAGACCCGGCUGGUAGCCAGUGUCAACCAUAGAAGAUUCCAGACCCCAGCAUCAGUGUCUGCCCCACUGUGGCCCCAGACCUCAAACUGCAGAGAGAAAGUACCUUCAAGCAUGGUCAGUCCAGAACCAGUCAGCGGCUCCCGAGAUCUGGCCGUGGUGGAACUCAGGCGGCUGAACAAGAAAGCAGUUCACCUCCCUUCCUGAUGAGUCAGAAAAAUGGAGUGCUUUGAAGCAACAGACCUUUACCUUGCAUAAACAAGUCUGUGUCACCUGACCUGGGAGGAACGUACCUGAAACUCAGGACGUACAGGAGAGAGCGAGCGAGCAAGCACAUUGGCGCUGCACGGUUUAAGUAGUUUUCAAGGCACGGAGCACGGAAUAGAUCAAGACUCUUGGUCCCAUCUUGGUCUAGAGUUUUGGUACAGAUUUUUUGAACAUCUUUUCUGGCUGAGGGAAAGAUACUGAGACCACCGCUCUCUUUCGUCUCCCAGCUCUAUUUCUUCCCUAGUUCUCUAUGUAAGUCUAGCUCUCAGAUCUUCUAAAUGGGACCACCAUUCCACCUUAAUGAUACCCUUCAAAUCAGAGGAGAAAUAAAGACCUUCCAUGAUUAGAAGAAGCUACAGAAAUUCAUGACCACCAAACCAGCGUUGCAUAAUACUUGAGGAAAUCCUACAGAGACAACGAGGACAACAACCAGGGAACCAAGAGGAAGAGUAAACCUCUCUGUGCGAGUGUGUCAGGAGGCAAACACAGAACCCAUGCUGUAACCUUCCUUAAUCAAGAAGACCAUUCUUCAGAAGGGAUGAGAUGGGGAAUAACUGAGCUCCUUAAAGCCGCUAGCGUCCUGCAAGUGUGCCAUGGCAUACCCUGUGUCCUCGGGAAAUGGAGAGAUGGUGCUUCCC